AGCAGGUGGGGAAUUUUCCGCAAUGGGCGAAAGCCUGACGGAGCAAUGCCGCGUGGAGGUGGAAGGCCUACGGGUCGUCAACUUCUUUUCUCGGAGAAGAAACAAUGACGGUAUCUGAGGAAUAAGCAUCGGCUAACUCUGUGCCAG
rnacentral:rRNA from 1 species